GUGGGGAAUAUUGGACAAUGGGCGCAAGCCUGAUCCAGCCAUGCCGCGUGAGUGAUGAAGGCCCUAGGGUUGUAAAGCUCUUUCACCGGUGAAGAUAAUGACGGUAACCGGAGAAGAAGCCCCGGCUAACUUCGUGCCAGCAGCCGCGGUAAUACGAAGGGGGCUAGCGUUGUUCGGAAUUACUGGGCGUAAAGCGCACGUAGGCGGACAUUUAAGUCAGGGGUGAAAUCCCAGAGCUCAACUCUGGAACUGCCUUUGAUACUGGGUGUCUUGAGGAUGGAAGAGGUAAGUGGAAUUCCGAGUGUAGAGGUGAAAUUCGUAGAUAUUCGGAGGAACACCAGUGGCGAAGGCGGCUUACUGGUCCAUUACUGACGCUGAGGUGCGAAAGCGUGGGGAGCAAACAGGAUUAGAAACCCUUGUAGUCC
rnacentral:rRNA from 1 species